UCCCUGCUAGCUCAGUUGGUAAAGAAUCUGCCUGCAAUGCAGGAAACCCAGGUUCAAUUCCUGGGUCAGGAA
rnacentral:tRNA from 1 species